CUUGACAGGUAUCAAUUUCCAAAUUAUUUCAUUUUCGUAUUACUCCAAAACAGUUAUACUGCAGCAGGAAAUACAGAAAUGGUUUUUGGAUAUUUACUUAUAUUACAGAUGUUAUAGUUGGCAUCUGGUUCAUAUUGUUUUUAAUCCUACAGGACUACAGUAUAUUACAUAAGAACUGGAGCUAAAUAUUGUUAUUACGGUUGCUGUUCUAAGAUUUUACCAGAUCCAUGUUGUGGUUUUGUACCUAACUUUGAUAAUACAGACUACUACUCAGUAUACCACUCAACUUUAUCUGUUGGAGCUAUCGCUGGAAUAGUUAUCGGUUGCAUUGUUGGAUUAAGCGUCUUUAUAACGAUCGUUGUUUGUGUGUGUUGUCGCAUGAGGUCUCGUCCAUUAACACAGGGACCAGUGAUAACGAGCUCUCCAUCGACAAUUGCUUACACUAGUAGCAACAAUGCUGUCUAUCUUCAACCCACCUAUCCACAGAAUGUCGGGUUUUCAAGCAAUGGAUUUAUCCAACCUCCAGCACAUAACGAAGAAAACACCGCUCAGCCUCCACUAUAUGAAAAUGUAGCAACUGAAAAACGUUGACUUAAUAAUGUUGUUAUCAGUUUAGUGAAAAACUUACAUAUAUAAAAUUUAAUUCAAUAUUUUAUCAUAUAUAUCAUAGUCUCAACUGUUAACAACGUUAAACCAUACUAUAAUACAAAAUUUUGUUUUAAAGAAUAUUUUUUAAUUCAUGCAACGUAAACAAGAACCAUAAUUAGUAUCAAAAUGUAAGAGUAGAAAUACAUUAGAAACUGAUGCCUCUAAUCUUGCCUCACGAUUUCUUUUUGACUUAUAGUUUUUCAUUGCCCUUUGUAUUGUUUUUUUUUACUUUACAUCCAUACAAGCCUAGCUUUAAUGUUCAUUUAUUUAUGCAAUUUAGUUUUUAUUUCAAUAUCCAAGGGAAUGAAACUUAAUAAAAAGCAGUGCACAAUAAUUUAAAACUGCUUUUUGAUUAUUUUUUUCACUUUGUAUCGUAAUUGACUUCCUUAAUAAAUACCUAUUUUCCAUUUUAUUACAGUUUUAUAACUUACAUCUUACUUCCUCCUUUAACUACUCAUAUUCAAAUGUGUGUCCACAAUCAACUAACCGAAUGUCAAUAAUGUCAUACACGCUUUAAAACGUGUUUUAAAAUAUAAAGACAAUUUAUAUGGAGGAAGAUUUGACCUCAAACUUCUUUUCUAUAUUAAUUUUAUUUGAAUAAAAACAUUUGUCGAUACCUAUUUUCUGGCAUUGCACAAGGUCAUGUUUUUCUUUGACUGUUUAUGACGUCUUUACACUAAAUCCAUUGGAUGUCGGAUGUGUACUGAUUGAUAAUUUAGACUUAGAUACAUAAUUUAUUUUAUUAGUUGUUAUUCCCUUUUGAACUAGCUGUCAGUAACUUCGAGUUCUCUCAGAUCUGAACUUAGUGUUGUUUUUUUUGUUAAGGGUGAGGGAUUAAUAUAUUCCCUGCCGCGUCCUCUCUGUGUUUUUGUUUGCUGUUUUUCUUUGUAUCGAUCUAAUGAGUUAAGCCUUUUUCAACUGAUUUUUAUAGUUUGUUCUUAUGUCGUGCUGUUACACCAAAAUCCCAGAUUAGGGAGAUGGUUGAGCGACCAUAAACAUGUUUUACCCCGCCACAUUCUUUAUGUGCUUGUCUCAAGUCAGGAGCCUGUAGUUCAGUGAUUGUCGUUGGUUUAUGUCUGUCAUCUUUGUUUUUGUAAAUUGUUUUGUUGUUAAUUAGGCCGUAAGUUUUCUCAAUUGAAUUGUUUCGUAUUUUUCGAGUCGGGGCCAUUUAUAGCCGACUAUAAUGUAUGGGUUUUUCUCAUUGUUGAAGACCGUACGGUUGCCUAUAAUUGCUUACAUCCACUUCAUUUGAUCUUUGUUGGAUAAUUGUCUCAUUGGCAAUCAUACCACAUCUUCUUAUUUUCAUAUUACUGCAUCUGUAAUGGAAUACAAUGGUUGCAUUUCGACCAGUUUAAAAGAACAAAAUAAUUGUUUUUUUUUUGUUUUUUUGUUAAAAGUGUAUCGUACAAUAUUUGUAAUCAGAUUCUUUGUGUAGGAGAAAUAUCCGUUGCAUUUUAAAAUGCAUAUAUCGUCUAAAUGUAUUCAAGUUUUGUUAAAAUAUCCGUAAGAUGUUUUUCCGUAGGUUCUUAUGAAGAUAUACCCUUUUACAGCUAUUGAUAAAAGUAAAACUAAUGGGAUACCAGUCAAAUGAUGGUACACUCAAACAAUCAUCAAUAUUACAAAGACGCAAACAACAAUAAUGGCUUAAUCGUUCUAAAACUUGAAAAAGAGGGGAAAUUUACUUAAGUGGACAUACAAACAGUAAAAAACAAAACAAAACAACUAAUCAAAGAUACCAGGCUGAUAAUUCUAAAGUGCGACAGACACGCGUUUCGUCUACACAAAACUCAUUAGUGGCGUUCGAUCGAAACAGUUGGACGGCCAAAUCAAUUACAAAAAAUUCCAAAAAGAUCUACAGCCUCCUUGGUAACAUGGUAACAUGGUCGCUUCGAGUGCAGAAGAUCGUGGGUUCGAUCCCCUGUCGGUAUAAAACAAAGACUUGACUAUUGAUAAAUUCCCUUUCUCCGAUAUGCAUGUGGAAUUUAGGAGUAACUGCAAAGACUGGUCGGCUGAGAGUCAGAAUAAUUCCCGUGUAGGGUGACAUGUCUUUCUCCGGGUUGUUACCUUAUCAAAUAGCAUGGCUCAUCUAUUUGAUUUAAUAUUUUUAAAGCAGUCUUCAUAUUAAUAACAUGUUGUUUCAUGCUGACAAAAAAUAACUCGUUGAAGAACUGAAACACAUAUGUUGUGAAAUGCAGGUUUAGAGAAAUAAUAUCUAAACAAAUAGGAAACUUCCUAUUUAGAAAUAAUUAUUUUACUGUCGUACAAAGAAUAGAGUUAUCAAAUAUGUCAACGAAGUCGAACUGACUCUAAACAGAUUCACUUUAUCUAGGACUUCCAAACUACUAUUGAGACUCCAGAUAUAAUUGAUAUCGCUUUUAAAAUAAGUGUCCCACAUCGUCAAAAUCAACUUACAUAUUGAAAACGCAAAAUUUACUGUAACAAGCAUCAGUUAUCAUUUACCCAAAUUUUGGGUAUUUACAUGCUUACUUCCUGUGCUAACGAAGCGGAGUACAUGCAAAAGCUGUUGACGUAUAAGGAAGAAAAUUAUUACUGGAUGCAUGAAAAAUGUUUUUUUUGUAACUUGUCAAACCACAGCGAAAAGGUACGCACUGCAAACACAAUUUAUCACAAGUCAACAUGUUUGGAUAUCUGUGUUUAUUCCAAAUCAUAGGAGUGGUCAGUUGCAAGAGUAAAGUAUGCGUUUAUUACAUUUCUAGCUCUUUCCAUUCAUAUUCUGAUAUCGAAUAUUGUUUCUAUGGAUGUUGUUCCAAAUAUACAACAAGUCCAUGUUGUUCUGCAUCAUAUUCAUCAUAUUUGGACGGCAUAAGUAACUACGGCUAUACUUUGUCAACAGCUGGAACCAUAGGGGCAGUUGUCGGUAGUCUCUUCGCUUUAACUAUCUUCGUUUCGAUCAUCUCCUAUAUCUGCAAAAGAAUGAGAGCCCAACGAGGCGUGCAAGGUCAUAUUAUAUCUCAA